rnacentral:rRNA from 1 species
GGACUACCGGGGUAUCUAAUCCUGUUUGCUCCCCACGCUUUCGUGCCUCAGCGUCAAUAUAGACCUAGUAGCUUGCCUUCGCGAUCGGUGUUCUAUGUGAUAUCUAUGCAUUUCACCGCUACACCACAUAUUCCAGCUACUCCGAUAUAAUUCCAGUCCAUCAGUAUCAAUAGCAAUUUUAACAGUUAAGCUGACAGAUUUCACUACUGACUUAAUGAACAGCCUACGCACCCUUUAAACCCAAUAAAUCCGGAUAACGCUCGUAUCCUUCGUAUUACCGCGGCUGCUGGCAC